GCCAUGCUGUGCCACUGAUUGUAUUGAUUCUCAUAUGCGUGUAUGUCUCUGGGUUUGCGUGGUCUUGGGGACCAUUGGGAUGGCUUGUUCCAUCUGAGAUCUACCCUCUUGAGGUGAGAAAUGCAGGUUACUUCUGUGCAGUGGCGAUGAACAUGAUCUGCACAUUCGUCAUCGGACAGUUCUUCUUGUCAGCUCUCUGCAGAUUCAGAUCCGGCUUGUUCUUCUUCUUCGGGACGAUGAACAUUAUUAUGGGACUAUUUGUUUUGGUUUUUCUCCCCGAGACCAGAGGUAUUCCUAUUGACGAAAUGGCCGAGAGGCGUUGGAAGACGCACCCGCGUUGGAAGAAAUAUUUCAAAGACUAAAUUCGUUUUUUUCUUGUCCC
rnacentral:lncRNA from 1 species